rnacentral:rRNA from 1 species
UACGAAGGGGGCAAGCGUUGUUCGGAAUUACUGGGCGUAAAGGGCGCGCAGGCGGCCGAUCAAGUCAGAUGUGAAAGCCCCGGGCUCAACCUGGGAAUAGCAUUUGGGACUGGUCGGCUAGAGUUCGGGAGAGGAGAGUGGAAUUCCCAGUGUAGAGGUGAAAUUCGUAGAUAUUGGGAAGAACACCGGUGGCGAAGGCGGCUCUCUGGACCGAUACUGACGCUGAGG